GGUCCUAGAGGGUGGAUGAGUUAGGAACAGGGUUAGAAGCAGGGAGGCCAGGAAGGAGGCUGAGCUAGUCCCAGGAAAGCCAUGGACACUCGCUGAAUUCCCAAAACUCAGUGGAACACCCCGUGGCGCGGAGGCAAGGCACAGGGAGGGAGGGAUGCGGGCCCAGCAGGUGCCUGAGGGACAUCCCGUGGAAGCCUUCCCUGGAUCACAAAGCUCAGAGGCCCAGCACGAAGAUGAGGCAGGAGAGAAAAACUCAAGAAUCUUCAUUGUGUAGCAGUCACUGAGCCUGUGGGCAGAGAGGGCUGGAAGGAGGCACCAGGAGGCCUAAGACAGGGUCCUGGAUGGAGGGACGGGCCCUGCCUUCUGCUGGGUGGCAGGUGUGCCAGGCACUGCGUGAGGGAAGCUGGGGGCAGGGGACAUGGUCAGGCUUGGAGGAUGGAAGUCAGGGGCUCAUCUGGAGCAUGUUAAAUUUGAAGGGCCCCUUGCUAUGUCCCCCAUAGGCUUAUGCAUUAGACAAUGCAAGAAUGAGAGCCUCAACCUGAUAAAUGGAUUAAUCAGCUGAUAUGGAGGAACUGGGCAGUGACUGUGGGCAGGUAGGGCAUGACCGGAGGAAGGAGGUCACGGGAGAUGUGCCUUUGGGGUUUACAUUUUGUCCCUGGUGAGCAGAGCUCCCUGUCUCUUUCUCUCUUCUUCUUCUUCCUGAUUGGCAUGUUCUGAGCUGGUUACGUCCGCCAAGCCUCCCGCCAUGAUGUCCUGGGCCCAGAGCGAUGGAGUCAGAUGUCUAGGGACCGAGACCUCUGAAACCAUGAGUCCCAAAGAAAAUGUUCCUCCUAUAAGAUAGUUCUUGUCUGAUCUUCCGGUCACAGUGGUGAAAGGCUGAUGUACACACUCCUACCCGUCCACGUGCAAAUGUCCAGAGGACAGUUGGACAUAAAGUCUGGGGGUCAGGCCUCGCUGGAAGCCAUCCACGCAAAACUUGCUGGGUUUCAAGUACAGGACUGGUCAAUCAAGAGUCCCAAGAAAGAAAAGACAGAGAUAGACAGAAAGGACAGGCAGACGGAGCCUCCGACUCUCUCAACAACACCUGGAAGAGACUCUUCAGCUUUCCUUUUCGGCCAUGAUGGAAAGACAUGGGAGGACAUGAAGAGGGCCACCCUGGGAACCGAGAACACUGAAACGCUUCAGAAUGUCCACAUAAGACGAGGACCACAGAGUGAAGCAUCCAUUAGCUGGUACAGUGGUGCACUCCCAUGGUCCUAGCUACUCGGAGACUGAGGCAGGAGGAUCCCAAGUUCAAGGCCAGCCUGGCAACUUAGUGAGACCCGGUCUCAAAAUAAAAAAAUAAAAGGAGGACUGGGGGAUGUAGCUGCGUGGGAGGGCUCCCCUGGGUUGAACCCCAGUACUGCAAAAAAAGGAAAAACACAAACUGCUUUCAGUGUGCACUAUGGAGGCCACCGAGUCUUGACGAGUAGGGGGUCUGCGUAGAGGACGCAGGUGGAGGGGGAAAUGGCGCUGCAAGGGCAAGGGCAAGUCUCCAGGCUUUUCUGCGUAGCGGGAAGAGAAACGGAGUCAGGAGGAAACUUCCUCCAAGACGGGAGAGAUCUGCGCACUCGCUGCAAAGAUCCAAGACUUUCUCCCAGUGUAGGCAUCCUUCAGAACCCAGAAGGCUCCUCCUGCAGACAGGAGUGGGUGGGAGGGAAGCAGAGGGAAGGCCCCCCACGGCCACCAUUCAUCCAUUCAGCAAGUCCCUAACACGCUUCCCACUUAAUCUCUAAUAACAGCUACGGCUGUGAGCCUGGCCCAGCGGAACAGCUUUUCAAGAGUGGACUAAUCCUGAGACUCCCCACAUGGAGCAUGUUGUCACCAGCUUCGUUUACGGCUUACAGACUUUGGAAGGUUACAGGUGUCUGAGCAAGAGUGGAGGGUGAGGGUGGGGGAGGAGCUGGGGUGGCCCCCCACACACAGCGGGAGAGUCCACAGGAUUGGGGGGGGACAGGAGCAGGAGGAGGAUGUGACUCGGGGCUCUGGCUGCAGCCCCAGUGGGAGGUGACACCCAGCGCCAGUGAGGACAGCAGAACCGGGUGCUACAGAGCCCGGGGCUGGGCUGGAGGCAACGGAGAGGAGCCUGAGGUCUUCACCCCUGGGGACUCAGCACUUAGGGAGCAGCUGCCCAGUGAGGAGGCACAGGAUGGGGCCCAGGAAAUGCAGAAAAGAAAGAGACUCGCCGGCCCUUUACACUGCCCUGGAGAAAGGGCUGAACAAUCUACCACGUGUCAUAAGCCCCAUAGUUUCCUGGAGGCAGAUGGUCUGGGUUCACUUCCCACCUCCCCUACUUACUUGCUGUGUGACCUGGGACAAGUCAUUUAACCUCUCUGAGCUGCGGUUUCCCUGCAUAUAAAACAGAGACCGUAAUAGUCCUCAUGACCAUCGCAGACACGCAUAAGGCACUUAGGACGUUUCUGGCAUGUAGUAGGCCCUGUGUAAGAAUUAGUCAUCCUCACGGCUGUGUUGUCUUGCUCUGCCCUCAGCACCUGCUGCCUUUAGAAAGGCCAGGGCCUCUGAGAUCCGCUUUACAGGCCCCACGGUGGAGGAGCCCAGAGAGGGAGCCGCUUACUGACGGGAUCCGAGAGGCUAAGGCCAGGAGGGGCCAUGUGGACUGGGCCUUGAAGGACGCCGAGGAGUGUCCAGGUCUCUGGAGUCGGAUUCACUGUCCCUCCGACCCAUGGUCAGUCCUGCUCUCGCCUGGUGUGCGGGGGCUCCUGUGUCCAUGCGGCCUCCACCCGUCCCUCCCUCGGCCUGCCCAGCCAGGUGAAGACGGCUCCGGAGGACUGUGGCAAGAUUUGAGCCAGGGGCUUGUCUACUGUGUCGGGGUGACAGGCCGAGGCGCAGGGACAGUCAGACAUGCAGGGACCAAGCCCAGCUUCCCAAAGGGGCGGGCGGGGUCCAGACUGCCCCACUCCUGCUCCCCACGAGCCUCGAACCUGGAACCUUCCAGCAGCCCGGGAUGAGGCAAGUGUGAAGCCCCUCCACCCAGGACCUGGUCCCCUGUCCACCCCCAGCUCCCAGCCCACAGGGAAGCACUGCAGAGCCCCGUCCUGUGUCCCCCGGGGGGCCGUGCCCUCCACCCAGCCCCAAUGCCCUUGUCCUCUUGUCUGUCCCUAAGAACUGAGAACUAAGGUGGGACAGCACAAGGGACUGGGGGACUUAGGCCCAUGUCCCUCGUCCAGAGGGAGGGGCGGGAGAGAGAGGGGAGGGAGGAGGGGUCUUUCUUCCCCUCCAGUUAUUUCUUUCUGCUCAGGAUCUCUGUUCAGCCCCCAGUACACACAGCCCCGGGGGAGGGGUGUCAGAUGGACAGAGCUUUCGGACAAAGCCCGUCAGACAGGCUGACAAGAUGCACGGGGCAGCCCGAGCAGGGUCCCCAAGUGCUGUUGAGGAAUGAAUAAGCGAGAAGAGAACGGAAUCCACAAAGGCGCCCAUGGAGAAAGGAGAGAUGCACAGAUACAAAAAGAGAUGGUGGGGCUGGGCAUGUGGCUCAAGCGGUUGCGCGCUCACCUGGCAUGCGUGCGGCCCGGGUUCGAUCCUCUGCACCACAUACCAACAAAGAUGUU